CGGACGGGUGAGUAACGCGUGGAUAACCUGCCGUAUACCGGGGGAUAACACUUAGAAAUAGGUGCUAAUACCGCAUAAGCGCACGGCUCCGCAUGGGGCAGUGUGAAAAACUCCGGUGGUAUACGAUGGAUCCGCGUCUGAUUAGCUAGUUGGCGGGGUAACGGCCCACCAAGGCAGCGAUCAGUAGCCGGCCUGAGAGGGUGGACGGCCACAUUGGGACUGAGACACGGCCCAAACUCCUACGGAAGGCAGCAG
rnacentral:rRNA from 1 species